rnacentral:rRNA from 1 species
UACGUAGGCAGCGAGCGUUGUUCGGAGUUACUGGGCGUAAAGGGUGUGUAGGCGGUUGUUUAAGUUUGGUGUGAAAUCCGUCCCGGCUACAACUGGGAGGGUGCGCCGAAUACUGAAUGACUUGGAGUGGACGGGAGAGGAAAGUGGUAAUUCCUGGUGGUAGCGGUAGAAAUGCGUAGAUAUCAGGAGGGAACACCGGUGGUGUAGACGCUUUCUGGACCGUAACUGACGCUGAGACACGAAAGCGUGGGUAGCAAACAGG